rnacentral:rRNA from 1 species
ACUCUCGGCAACGGAUAUCUUGGCUCUCGCAUCGAUAAAGAACAUAGCAAAAUGCGAUACUUGGUGUGAAUUGCCGAAUCCCGUGAACCAUCGAGUCUUUGAACGCAAGUUGCACCCCAAGCCUUCUAGCCGAGGGCACGUCUGCUUGGGUGUCACAAAUCGUCGUCCCCCCAUCCUCUCGAGGAUAUGGGACGGAAGCUAAUCUCUCGUGUGUUACCACACGCGGUUGGCCAAAAUCCUAGCUAAGGGCGUCCGGAGCGUCUUGACAUGCGGUGGUGAAUUCAAUUUUCGUCAUAUAGUCAGACGUUCCGGACCUAAAGCUCUUGAUGACCCAAAGUCCUCAACGUGACCCCAGGUCAGGCAGGAUCACCCGCUGAGUUUAAGCAUAUCAAUAAGCGGAGGAAAAGAAACUAACAAGGAUUCGCUUAGUAACAGUGAGCGAACCGGGAAGAGCCCAGCUUGAAAAUCGGAUGUCUUCGGCGUUCGAAUUGUAGUCUGGAGAAGCGUCCUCAGCGACGGACCGGGCCCAAGUUCCCUGGAAAGGGGCGCCAGAGAGGGUGAGAGCCCCGUCGUGCCCGGACCCUGUCGCACCACGAGGCGCUGUCUACGAGUCGGGUUGUUUGGGAAUGCAGCCCCAAUCGGGCGGUAAAUUCCGUCCAAGGCUAAAUAUGGGCGAGAGACUGAUAGCGAACAAGUACCGCGAGGUAAAGAUGAAAAGGACUUUGAAAAGAGAGCAAAGAGUGCUUGAAAUUGUCGGGAGGAAAGCGGAUGGGGGCCGGUGAUUCAUCCCGGUCGGAUGCAGAACGGAGCAAUCCGAUCUGCCGAUCGAUUCGGGGAGUGGCGGGCGGUAAAUUCCGUCCAAGGCUAAAUAUGGGCGAGAGACCGAUAGCGAACAAGUACCGCGAGGUAAAGAUGAAAAGGACUUUGAAAAGAGAGUCAAAGAGUGCUUGAAAUUGUCGGGAGGGAAGCGGAUGGGGGCCGGCGAUGCGUCCUGGUCGGAUGCGGAACGGAGCAAUCCGAUCUGCCGAUCGAUUCGGGGAGUGGACCUAUGCGCCUCUCGGCGUGCCUUGGCAUCUGCGUGCUCAGGACGUCGGCCUGUGGGCUCCCCAUUUGACCCAUCUUAAAACAUGGACCAAGGAGUCUGCCAUGUGUGUGAGUCAACGGGUGAGUAAACCCGUAAGGCGCAAGGAAGCUGAUUGGCUGGAUGCCUCACGGGUGCACAGCCGACCGACCUUGAUCUUCUGAGAUGGGUUCGAGUGUGAGCAUGCCUGUCGGGACCCGAAAGAUGGUGAACUAUGCCUGAGCGGGGCAAAGCCAGAGGAAACUCUGGUGGAGGCUCGCCGUGAUACUGACGUGCAAAUCGUUUGUCUGACUUGGGUAAAGGGGCGAAAGACUAAUCGAACCAUCUAGUAGCUGGUUCCCUCCGAAGUUUCCCUCAAGAUAGCUUGAGCUCGAAAACGAGUUCUAUCGGGUAAAGCCAAUGAUUAGAGGCAUCGGGGAGGCAAUGUCCUCGACCUAUUCUCAAACUUUAAAUAGGUAGGACGGGGUGGCUGCUUUGUUGAGCCAUCCCACGGAAUCGAGAGCUACAAGUGGGCCAUUUUUGGUAAGCAGAGUUAGCGAUGUGGGAUGAACCGGAAGCCGGGUUACGGUGCCCAACUGCGCGCUAACCUAGAACCCACAAAAGGUGUUGGUCGGUUAAGGCAGCAGGACGGUAGUCAUGGAAGUUGAAAUCCGCUAAGGGGUGUGUAAAAACUCACCUUCUGAAUCCACUAGCCCCAAAAAUGGAUGGCGCUGAAGCGUGCGACCUAUACCCGGCCGUCGGGGCAAGAGCCAGGCCUCGAUGAGUAGGAGGGCGCGGCAGUCGCUGCAAAACCUAAUGAAGGACCCUAAGAUCGGCUCACUCGAAUGGAUCAGAUUUGGAUAUGAACUCCAGAUGGAGAACUGGAUGGAUUGAAGGGUCGCACGAAGGUUGUGGAAUGGCCUUCGAUAUUCCCGACUUUAGAUGGUGCUUGAUAUGACUCACAAGUCCACCAAAUGAAUAAUCUCUCGUCGUUGCUUGAUAUGCCUCACAAGACCAACGAUUUGAGGAAGUGUUUACUUGGAUAUGACUCACCAAGAAACUAAGAACAAGUUCUAAACAAAGAGUUUAACUCAAACUUUAGACGAAAACGAUUUCUCAUCAAUUAAAAUGAAAGAGUUUCAUACUUAUAGAGUUAUGUAGAUCUAGGAAUUAAAUAGAAAAUUAGAUCUAGAUCUAGAUGUAGUCAUUAAACGAAAAUAAUGACAAGAUUAAUUAAUGUGCCUGAUCGGCUUCCAUCCAGAUGCAUCUGAACCGGCUAAGCCCAAGGCGGUAAGGACAGUCACAUUGGCGGGACAAUCAGCAAGGGCCGCGGGACGUUCUGCUAAGGCCGCGGGGCAUUCUGAUCGGACAAGUUUCGUUCCAACAAAACCCAAGUCUUCUGAUAGCUUAAGGAUCCUUGCCUUAGAGAAAUGUCCAAAGGAAAAGUCCAUGAUUGGAUCGAACAAGGUAGAGAGAUCAUCAGCACGGUCGUCCGUACAUGCGGUACGAGCCAAUCGAGCUAAAAGAGAGAAGUCUCGAUCAUUGUGUGAAACCUCAUGAUCCAAGUCAAGUCUGGCAUGAUCUUUCUCAAGUCUGGCAUGAUUAUUCUCAAGUCUGGCAUGAUCCUUUUCAAGUCUGGCAUGAUCCAAGUCAAGUCUGGCUUGGCUAUUAGUCUUGGUUUGUCGAGUUGGCCGGGAGAGACGACCUUCAGUUUGGUCAGUUCGAGCAUCUGGUCGAGGAUCUGGACGAAGCUCCAAUCCAGACGUUCACGGGUCGAGCCGAUAGACGGCCCUGUGGAUCUGUCUGAUCUGAUCGGUAGGAUGAACCUCAGCUGGGACGUCGGGAAUGUUCUGAUCGGUCUGGUCCAUAGACUGGGGCACAUCAUUCCCUACUUCUUUAAAAGGAUUUGUCCACAAAUCUGGAUCAUCUACAAGAAAAGGAGAAAGAUCAGACACAUUAAAGCUUGUAGAAAUAUCAUACUUACCUUGCAAAUCAAGCUGAUAGGCAUUGUCAUUAAUCUUUCUAAGGAUCUGAAAUGAACCAUUGACCCGAGGCAUAAGUUUAGACUUUCUUUCUUCUGGAAACCGUUCCUUCCUCAAGUGAACCCAAACUAGAUCACCCUCCUCAAAGAUCACCUCCUUUCUCUUCCUGUUUGCAUAUCUUUUGUACCCUUCGGUUUUGGCUGCAAUGUUUGCAUGGACCUGCUUAUGUAACUUCUUGAUAGUGUCUGCUUUCCUUUU